UAUCAAUACUCACACACAAUCUUCAUGAUUCUAAGAACUUUUUCAGUGUCAGUUCAGCUCAGUCUUGGAAUGCUGUAUGACCAGGCAGGCUAACUGAAGAAACCAGACAGCCCAAGGUCUGCAGCCCUGAAAGAAGCACCUUUCACUGACUUGGUCUCCUCCACAGUUUGAGGUCUCUUUUCUUUGGUCUCUGUUAUAUUUCACAAGAAAUGUUCAUUACUAUGUGUAGGACAAAAUGCUGCCCGGGGAGUAGCAUAUUUUAUUAGUUAGAAAGUUGAAUUGUAUAUUCUAUAACUCUACGUUCUUCUUUUCAAAAUGCGUUAUGAACAGCAUAACUUAAUUUAUCAAAAGUAUCACUCUGUGUUGUAUUUCAGUUGUUUGUGAAGUAAUUCUUAUUUGAAAUUUUGGGAUCUUUCUAAACUUGUGUAAUUAAUGUCAUUGUUACUUGCCUUCAAGAAGGAUUCUACCACCAAUGCAAUUUGUCUGAUGGACUUAUAAACACUGGAUGUCCUUUCAUUUGAGUCUCACCAUUUAAGCAACUUGAACAGUUCUGAUGUAGACAGUAACUAGACACUCUUGCUGACAUUAUGAACAGUCUUAAUUAUAAUACCUCACUCUUCUCCUCAGCAAAGAAUAUUCUGAAUUGCUAGACAAAAAAUCAGUUGUUGAAGUUGAUCCAGAUGUAAGCUGGAGAAGUCUUUGGCACUGUUAUUUCUGUCUGAAACCAGUGCCUCUUACAGUAAAUAAGCUUUAUGUCAUUUCAAUCAGCUACCUCUUUCAAAUGCAGAGUAUACUGUGGAAUAUACGAAGAAGUAUACAUUUUAUGACAAUAAUGAGGAGAAAGCCAAAUAAAGAACUAACAGAAAUGCCUCAGUUGGUGCUUAUCCGGGUAUUAGGGCUGCCUUCCUGGGCUUCAGAGACUAGACCUAGGCUUAUGAUUCUUGACAGAAAAAGCCGCCUUUAUAUAUAUAUAUAUAUAUAUAUAUGUGAUAAUACUCAAAUAGUUUCUCAGUGCUGAAUCACUCACAGUCCAAGGUGUUGCAAGAAGACUGUUGACAGGACAAACAAGAAGUCUGAAGAGAUACCACUCUUACAGUGAAAGCCAUCUUGGGGUUAAGUCAUAAGAAGUAAAUGUUUAUUCACUAGUUGUC
ensembl:lncRNA